UCCUCGGGACCAUAGCGGAGGGGAAACACCCGGUUUCCAUUCCGAACCCGGCAGUUAAGCCCUCCAGCGCCGAUGAUACUGUGCCGGGCGAACGGCACGGGAAAGUAGGUCGUCCCGGGGGUU
rnacentral:rRNA from 1 species